UUAAAAACAGGGAUAAAGAAUAGUAGUUUUCAAACACUAUAAAGAGAAGAUAUAUCAUAGGCUGAGAGUAUAUCUAUAGUUAAGGAUAAUGAAUCACACUUUUGAGUUGGUAGUUUGAAUAUUAGUAGGACUACACGUUUGGCGCGUUAAGCCUUUAAGUGGGUAAAUACCAAUUAGGGUGGUACCGCGGGUAGAACAUAACCCGUCCCUUGC
rnacentral:ncRNA from 1 species